rnacentral:sRNA from 28 species
UGACCAUCCCUUUUCUGAGGGACCGAAGGCCAUACGGACAGCCGGGUCAAAUGCCGA